rnacentral:rRNA from 1 species
UACGAAGGGGGCUAGCGUUGCUCGGAAUUACUGGGCGUAAAGGGCGCGUAGGCGGACAGUUAAGUCGGGGGUGAAAGCCCGGGGCUCAACCUCGGAAUUGCCUUCGAUACUGGCUGUCUUGAGUGCGGGAGAGGUGUGUGGAACUCCGAGUGUAGAGGUGAAAUUCGUAGAUAUUCGGAAGAACACCAGUGGCGAAGGCGACACACUGGCCCGUUACUGACGCUGAGGCGACGAAAGCGUGGGGAGCAAACAGG